UGUUUUUUUCUCUUUCCCUUUCGGUUUGUUUUGUUUUUUAGAGGAGCAGCAAAUGACAGAGCAGAGGGACAGCGGGCCCAGCCAAUCCUAGAGCGGCUGCAACACUUGUUCCCCAGACAGGCGCGUUCUGGUAUUUGUUAAGGAUCUGUCACGUGUUGGGCACUGCAUGAAGUCCUGAGGACACAGAGGCGGAUACAGGAGUCACACCAUGGUCUGGAAGGUUCUCCCUAGGGUGGCAUGGAAGCUGUCAGCUCUGGGGAAACCGUGACAGCGCAAGUUGGUGUACGCCGAGGAGCAGUCCCAGGUCCACUCAGAAACCCUGCAGGAGGCCAGCUAACCACAUCAGACUGCAGAAACACAUACUCAUUGCCCUGGAGAACAUGAUAUUGCUUCCAAGAUAAAAGACUCAACCUGUUGCCAGAUAUCUCAGCCGCCUGGUGCAGCUCUCAUCUGCCAGCACCUCCUCCUGCAAUUGGCAAGGCUGCUUCCAGCUAGAACAGGGGGAUGAAGAGUCUUCAAAGCACGGAUCUUUGCUCGCCAUAGAUGGUUGUAGUGGUUAGUGCAGAAUGUCAUCUUGAUCAACUUUGGGAUCCACCAGGGUAAUUAGGGGAAAACACCUCUGGGUAUGUGUGGGUGGGUCAUGAAUGCAUGGCCUUGCAGUCUGUGUCUAGUCCUUUGCCCCUUCUGAUCUGACAGUGUUCCCAUGCUCUGCUUUCUGGCUGCCAUGAACUAAGCAGCUUUACUCUGGAGCAAGCCUUCCACCAUGGUGUUUCUGCCCUGGAGCCAGCCAGCCAUGGACUGAAUUUCCCUAAAACGUGAGCCACAUUAACCUCUCUUCCUUUAAAGUGUGAGUGUUGGGGGUUGUGUCCACUAAGAGGAAGCUGACUAACACAGUAGUGAAGGGAGGGGAGCUAUGUAUGGAUUCUAGAAUAUGCUGAUUUUUCAAACUUGAGUGCAGGUUUCAAGGUGCUUUCCAUCUGACCUCACUGCCUAGCCUCUUUAAUUGUGAUGCCAUAGAGUGAGGUUGUCAUUGUAUGACUCCGGAAAAGAAGACCUAAUGAGCGUGGUAGGGAGGAGUUGGGCAGGGCAGAAGGCAAGGUAAGGCCAGGCAUCCUGGGAGCUGUGCCCACAUUUUCCUGGGGCUCAACAGGCAUCUCUGCCUCCAGUUUGAUUCUUGAUGUUCUUCCCUCUGUCCCAUAUACUUGUUCAGUUUCUCUACUUUGGGGAGAGGCAGAUACAUUUUUUUUGGAUAAACUCAAAUUACAUAAUUAAGAAGACACAUCUACUUAGAAUAAGCAUUUGCAAAUGAUGUUGAGAUGCCCUUUUAAAAAAUGUUUCCCUCUGUUAGUGGGAGU